GACGAACGCUGSCGCCGCGGCGUAUUAGCUAGAUGGUGGGGUAACGGCUCACCAUGGCAAUGAUACGUAGCCGACCUGAGAGGGUAAUCGGCCACAUUGGGACUGAGACACGGCCCAAACUCCUACGGGAGGCACACGGCCCAAACUCCUACGGGAGGCAGCAGUAGGGAAUCUUCCACAAUGGACGAAAGUCUGAUGGAGCAAUGCCGCGUGAGUGAAGAAGGGUUUCGGCUCGUAAAACUCUGGCGUGCCUAAUACAUGCAAGUCGAACGAACUCUGGUAUUGAUUGGUGCUUGCAUCAUGAUUUACAUUUGAGUGAGUGGCGAACUGGUGAGUAACACGUGGGAAACCUGCCCAGAAGCGGGGGAUAACACCUGGAAACAGAUGCUAAUACCGCAUAACAACUUGGACCGCAUGGUCCGAGCUUGAAAGAUGGCUUCGGCUAUCACUUUUGGAUGGUCUUGUUAAAGAAGAACACCUUUGAGAGUAACUGUUCAAGGGUUGACGGUAUUUAACCAGAAAGCCACGGCUAACUACGUGCCAGCAGCCGCGGUAAUACGUAGGUGGCAAGCGUUGUCCGGAUUUAUUGGGCGUAAAGCGAGCGCAGGCGGUUUUUUAAGUCUGAUGUGAAAGCCUUCGGCUUAACCGGAGAAGUGCAUCGGAAACUGGGAGACUUGAGUGCAGAAGAGGACAGUGGAACUCCAUGUGUAGCGGUGGAAUGCGUAGAUAUAUGGAAGAACACCAGUGGCGAAGGCGGCUGUCUAGUCUGUAACUGACGCUGAGGCUCGAAAGCAUGGGUAGCGAACAGGAUUAGAUACCCUGGUAGUCCAUGCCGUAAACGAUGAGUGCUAAGUGUUGGAGGGUUUCCGCCCUUCAGUGCUGCAGCUAACGCAUUAAGCACUCCGCCUGGGGAGUACGACCGCAAGGUUGAAACUCAAAGGAAUUGACGGGGGCCCGCACAAGCGGUGGAGCAUGUGGUUUAAUUCGAAGCUACGCGAAGAACCUUACCAGGUCUUGACAUCUUCUGCCAAUCUUAGAGAUAAGACGUUCAAAGGAAUUGACGGGGCCCCGCACAAGCGGUGGAGCAUGUGGUUUAAUUCGAAGCUACGCGAAGAACCUUACCAGGUCUUGACAUACUAUGCAAAUCUAAGAGAUUAGACGUUCCCUUCGGGGACAUGGAUACAGGUGGUGCAUGGUUGUCGUCAGCUCGUGUCGUGAGAUGUUGGGUUAAGUCCCGCAACGAGCGCAACCCUUAUUAUCAGUUGCCAGCAUUAAGUUGGGCACUCUGGUGAGACUGCCGGUGACAAACCGGAGGAAGGUGGGGAUGA
rnacentral:rRNA from 1 species